AUUGAACGCUGGCGGCAUGCCUUACACAUGCAAGUCGAACGGCAGCACGGGAGCAAUCCUGGUGGCGAGUGGCGAACGGGUGAGUAAUAUAUCGGAACGUGCCCAGUCGUGGGGGAUAACGCAGCGAAAGCUGUGCUAAUACCGCAUACGAUCUAUGGAUGAAAGCGGGGGAUCGCAAGACCUCGCGCGAUUGGAGCGGCCGAUAUCAGAUUAGGUAGUUGGUGGGGUAAAGGCCCACCAAGCCAACGAUCUGUAGCUGGUCUGAGAGGACGACCAGCCACACCUGGAACUGAGACACGGUCCAGACUCCUACGGGAGGCAGCAGUGGGGGAUUUUGGACAAUGGGCGAAAGCCUGAUCCAGCGACGCCGCGUGGAGGACGAAGCCCUUCGGGGUGUAAACUCCUUUUCUCAGGGAAAAGGAUCGAUGGUACCUGUAGGAAUAAGCCCCGGCUAACUACGUGCCAGCAGCCGCGGUAAGGAGUAGUACA
rnacentral:rRNA from 1 species